rnacentral:rRNA from 1 species
UAGGGAAUCUUCGGCAAUGGACGAAAGUCUGACCGAGCAACGCCGCGUGAGUGAAGAAGGUUUUCGGAUCGUAAAACUCUGUUGUUAGAGAAGAACAAGGACGUUAGUAACUGAACGUCCCCUGACGGUAUCUAACCAGAAAGCCACGGCUAACUACGUGCCAGCAGCCGCGGUAAUACGUAGGUGGCAAGCGUUGUCCGGAUUUAUUGGGCGUAAAGCGAGCGCAGGCGGUUUCUUAAGUCUGAUGUGAAAGCCCCCGGCGCAACCGGGGAGGGGCAUUGGAAACUGGGAGACUUGAGUGCAGAAGAGGAGAGUGGAAUUCCAGGUGUAGCGGUGAAAUGCGUAGAUAUAUGGAGGAACACCAGUGGCGAAGGCGGCUCACUGGUCUGUAACUGACGCUGAGGCUCGAAAGCGUGGGGAGCAAACAGG